AAACAGGUUUAUAAAAACGUCUUCCGAAUAUCUCUCUUCCCUGAUUAAAGAAGACAAUGUCCAACUUAAGUCUUAGCUCUUUGUACCCCACAGAAAAUCCGAUUGAUGAUGGGAUGUUGACGCUAAUCAACAUUAUUGCUUUACGGUAUUUAAUGAAUGUUUAUUGCACUUGUAUAAUUAGCAGAGCGCCAGAAAAUGACUAUUUAUCCGGAUACAAGCCACCACACUCAACAAUCUUGAUAGACCAAGCAACAGUUGGUGAGCAAACAAUGAUGGAUAGCAUUGAAAAUGGUUGCCAAUCCUUCAUUAUAACCCAACAAGCAUCCCAGACGUUCCUAGAUGAUUUCAAUUUCCUUCAUGACAGAACAAUCACACAACAUUCCAACAAAAAGAUCAUAAUUCUUAUCGACAGCCAAACCAGUGAAAUGGCAACUGAUCAGAUUUUCCAACACGAUGCCAUUCAUGAUAUUCCUCAGCUAUUGCUUUUGAUUCCCAAAGGCCAAGAUCGAAUAGAUCUGAUGACUAACAGAUUCGUCACUCAAGACCAUCACCAUGAACUGAUCCUGCUGGAUAGAUUCGUUCCUUCCCUUGGCACAUUCAAGUACGGGAAUAAUCUGUUCCCAAACAAGUUACACGAUUUGGAAGGUCGUUUCCUUCGCUUAGCAUUGUUCAAAUAUCAUCCUUACACCAUUUGGAACGAAGUCAGCUCAAUCGACGAAUCCAAUGCCAAUUAUGAGCAAAAACCAACGCUAAGCAUCGAUGGAACCGAGAGCCGAAUAUUUUUGGAAUUCUGCUCUACGUUCAACUGCUCUUUGGACAUCUCGCUUGAUGAAGCCGGGGAAUGGGGCGAAAUUUUCGACAACCGCACAGGAAAUGGCAUUAUCGGGGCUGUCGUGGAACGUCGGGCGGACAUUGGGGUCGGUGCCCUGUACUCAUGGCAUCACGAAUCCAUCUAUCUGUCUCUGUCGAAGCCGAUCUCGAGAACCGGAGUUACGUGUAUCACUCCCAAACCGAGGCUGCUCAGCGGUUGGCUCAUACCGAUUCUGCCGUUUUCGCAGAACUUGUGGAUUGCCGUGUUGAGUACGUUUCUAUGCAUGAGCUGCUUCUCGCUUUUUGUUAACUAUAUGGUGGAUAAUGUGCUGAAUAAGGAGAAUCGACGCGUAGACCUGUGCGAAUCGUUCAUGAUCAUAGGCAGUAUAUUCAUCUUGCAAUCCGUUCUGCUGAGGAUAAACCGCAGCAAACUCGUGUCGCAGUUGAUAGUCAUGGGAUCGCUUCUGUUCGUGGGACUUAUGAUCGGCAACCUUUACAGUGGAGGCCUUUCCAGUAUCAUGACUAUUCCUCGUUACGAGCCCCCAGUCGACACUCUGGAAGAUCUGGCUAACAGCAACCUGCCGUGGGCGUCAACUCACGAUGCAUGGAUCUUCUCCAUCCUGAUGGCGACUCAACCGACUAUCAUCAGAAUCCUACACAACUUUCAAACUCACCCGAAAGAAGUACUUCACAAACACACCAAACAGCUAGACAUGGCCUACAGCGUGGAAAGAUUACCGUACGGCCACUUUGCAAUCGGCGAGUACAUCGACGAAGAGGCGUCCCACAAGUUCCAUCUUAUGAAAGAAGAUAUCUACUGGGAGAACUGCGUAGCCAUGUCCACCAAAACGUGGCCCAUGAUGGACCAGUUGGACCAACUGAUUUUGAUCAUAUUCCAAAGUGGCAUACAACGCUACUGGGAAUUGCAGGUCGUGUCGAAAUACGAGAACGAUGAAGUUCAGUUGGCCAUCGCCACGUCACGCCAUCCGGAAAAUGAUGGGCCAAUAGUGUUGCAACUUUCUCAUCUGCUGGGUGCGUUCCUGAUGCUAGGCUUCGGAUUGGCUGCCGGACUGGCAACGUUUAUGGUGGAAGUGAUGCUGGGAAAGUUUAUGUGACUGCGGAAGGAAACCGAACGGGAAUGCUUCCGUUCACCGAACAACUCUGUUGUGUGGAAACGAAGGAAUAGGAGCAGCCGUAGCAGCACCUCGUGCCCAUCGAUUUGUAUGUGAACACCAACCGGUCACAAAAACUCUACACGUAGUCCUUUGGGAGUCUCCACUCAGCAACGCUCACAUAUCCUUUCUCGUCGUCAUUGUCCUCGUCACCGUUUUCGUUUCCAUUAGAAGCAGGAGGUACCUUCCAGAGAAGUGGUCAACGUCGCGUCGCGGUGACCUGCAGCCUGAGAGUCGAGCUCAAUGCGCCGUCGCCUGCCAGGAAACCUAGUCCCAGCACCUGAAAGACCCACGCAGUGGAGAGUUGCUAGGAACAAGAGAGAGAGAAAGUACCUUUGUCCAGUCUACAGAGCCAGUGUCCGAACAAGUGUUGUCACCUGGACCGCCAAUGGAGAGAGAGGAUAUCCUGCCCACACAGUGAUCUACUUUUUACACGUAGCAACUUGGAACAAAAGAUGGCCACCCGUGGACGCUAGUCAGAUGGUUGAAAAUUUUCCCAACGAUGAUCCUUGGUGAAGUGUUGUGAAUUUGAAAAGAUUAUCCUGGAUUGCAAUCGUCAUAGGCGAGCGGAAGUAACGGAAAAAAAGUUUGAAAUUUAUUGCUCAUGAAAACAAGCGUUCUCCGAAAAACGUGAAAAAUGUGUCCUCUGCGGAAUAAUUGAUGCGGUGUCAUAGUGUACCAGUGAUUUAUUUGAAAACCUGCAGUUUUACUUGUAAGUUGCAACUUACACAAGUUUAAGAGUGAAAAUUCUAGGAUUAAAGUAACGCGCAAUAACGGCCCAUUACUGCAAUGAAACCAUUUCCGCGUGAUCAUCAUUUCAAACGAAGCAAAAAGUGAAAUUUUC